GAUGGCGAGUGGCGAACGGGUGAGUAAUGCAUCGGAACGUGCCCAGUCGUGGGGGAUAACGCAGCGAAAGCUGUGCUAAUACCGCAUACGACCUACGGGUGAAAGCGGGGGACCGAAAGGCCUCGCGCUAUUGGAGCGGCCGAUAUCAGAUUAGGUAGUUGGUGGGGUAAAGGCUCACCAAGCCAACGAUCUGUAGCUGGUCUGAGAGGACGACCAGCCACACUGGAACUGAGACACGGUCCAGACUCC
rnacentral:rRNA from 1 species